AGAGUUUGAUCAUGGCUCAGGUUGAACGCUAGCGGUGCGCCUAAUACAUGCAAGUCGAGCGAGGCUUCGAGCCGAGCGGCGGACGGCUGAGUAACACGUUGGUACCUACCCCAUACUCAGGGAUAACACAGAGAAAUUUGUGCUAAUACCGGAUAGUCCCGCAAGGGUAAAGAUUUAUCGGUAUGGGAGGGGCCUGCGGCUUAUCAGGUAGUUGGUAGUGUAAUGGACUACCAAGCCUAUGACGAGUAGCUGGUGUGAGAGCAUGACCAGCCAGAAUGGAACUGAGACACGGUCCAUACUCCUACGGGAGGCAGCAGUAAGGAAUAUUCCGCAAUGGACGAAAGUCUGACGGAGCGACACCGCGUGGAGGACGACACCUUUCGGGGCGUAAACUCCUUUUCUGAGUGAAUAAGUUCUGAAAUUAACUCAGGAAUAAGUGACGGCUAACUACGUGCCAGCAGCCGCGGUAAUACGUAGGUCGCAAGCGUUAACCGGAAUUAUUGGGCGUAAAGGGUCCGUAGCCGGAAGAGAAAGUCUGAUGUUAAAACACGGUGCUCAACACCGUGAUCGUAUCGGAAACUUCUUAUCUAGAGUUAUUCAGAGGUGCGUGGAAUUUCUUGUGUAGGGGUAAAAUCCGUAGAUACAAGAAGGAACACCAAAAGCGAAGGCAGCGCACUGGGGAUAUACUGACGGUCAGGGACGAAAGCGUGGGGAGCAAAGAGGAUUAGGUACCCUCGUAGUCCACGCCCUAAA
rnacentral:rRNA from 1 species